rnacentral:rRNA from 1 species
CGCUAGCGGCAGGCCUACACAUGCAAGUCGAGGGGUAACAGGGAGCUUGCUCCGCUGACGACCGGCGCACGGGUGCGUAACGCGUAUACAAUCUGCCUUUUGCUACGGGAUAGCCCAGAGAAAUUUGGAUUAACACCGUAUAGUAUAUAGGGUCCGCAUGGGCCUUGUAUUAAAGGUUACGGCAAAAGAUGAGUAUGCGUUCUAUUAGCUAGAUGGUGUGGUAACGGCAUACCAUGGCAACGAUAGAUAGGGGCCCUGAGAGGGGGAUCCCCCACACUGGUACUGAGACACGGACCAGACUCCUACGGGAGGCAGCAGUGAGGAAUAUUGGACAAUGGGCGAGAGCCUGAUCCAGCCAUGCCGCGUGCAGGAAGACUGCCCUAUGGGUUGUAAACUGCUUUUGUACAGGAAGAAACGUCUGGAUUUAUCUGGACCUGACGGUACUGUAAGAAUAAGCACCGGCUAACUCCGUGCCAGCAGCCGCGGUAAUACGGAGGGUGCAAGCGUUAUCCGGAAUCACUGGGUUUAAAGGGUGCGUAGGCGGCUAAAUAAGUCAGAAGUGAAAGCCUGCGGCUUAACCGUAGAAUUGCUUUUGAUACUGUAUAGCUUGAAUUAGGUUGAGGUUGGCGGAAUGUGACAUGUAGCGGUGAAAUGCAUAGAUAUGUCAUAGAACACCAAUUGCGAAGGCAGCUGACUAGACCUUAAUUGACGCUG